GACGAACCGUGCGAACGUUAUUCGGAAUCACUGGGCUUAAAGCGCGUGUAGGCGGGCCGCCACGUCGGCUGCUGAAAUCCCCCGGCUCAACCGGGGAAGUGGCACCGAUACGAGCGGCCUCGAGGGGGGGUAGGGGGGUCUGGAACUUCCGGUGGAGCGGUGAAAUGCGUUGAGAUCGGAAGGAACGCCCGUGGCGAAAGCGAGGCCCUGGACCCUUACUGACGCUGAGACGCGAAGCCAGGGAGCGAAGCGGG
rnacentral:rRNA from 1 species